ACAAAUAUCUUAGUUGCUUGCUUUUUACUUUAUUACAGGGUGUUUUUUUUUUUAGUGAGCAGACAUUCUUAAUUUUAUUAUAGACCUAUUUAUAGUUGUUUUCCUUUAUAGUUAGUGGUUUUAUAUGUGUGUGUAUUAUGUAGUUAUGUUUAAGAAAUCUUUGCUCAUGAGGUUUUAUUUCAUUUUUGUAUUUAUUUUUUCUGGACUCAGUAUUAGAUAUGUUACUUGAUUCUAAAAAAAUCCAUCUUCCUACCCCUCCCCUAUUUUCUCUCUCUCCAGAGUGGGUAUUAAGGACAUUGCUGGUAUCCAUUUGCCAACAAAUGUGAAAUUUCAGAGUCCGGCUUAUUCUUCUGUAGAUACUGAAGAAACAAUUGAACCUUAUACAACUGAAAAGAUGAGUCGAGUUCCUGGAGGAUAUUUGGCUUUGACAGAGUGCUUUGAAAUUAUGACAGUAGAUUUCAACAACCUUCAGGAAUUAAAAAGUCUUGCAACUAAAAAGCCUGAUAAGAUUGGUAUUCCUGUUAUUAAAGAAGGCAUACUAGAUGCUAUUAUGGUUUGGUUUGUGCUCCAGCUUGAUGAUGAACAUAGUUUAUCCACAAGUCCUAGUGAGGAAACAUGUUGGGAACAGGCUGUCUACCCCGUACAGGACCUUGCAGACUACUGGAUAAAGCCUGGAGACCAUGUGAUGAUGGAAGUAUCUUGUCAAGACUGUUACUUAAGAAUCCAGAGUAUUAGUGUCUUGGGUUUGGAAUGUGAAAUGGAUGUUGCAAAAAGUUUUACCCAGAAUAAAGACUUGUUAUCGUUAGGAAAUGAGGCUGAACUUUGUAGUGCCCUCGCUAACCUUCAGACCAGUAAACCAGAUGCUGUAGAGCAGACAUGUAUAUUGGAAUCUACAGAAAUUGCUUUGCUUAACAACAUCCCAUAUCAUGAAGGCUUUAAAAUGGCAAUGAGCAAAGUUUUGUCUUCACUGACUCCAGAGAAACUGUAUCAGACCAUGGAUACUCACUGUCAGAAUGAGAUGAGCUCUGGAACUGGACAGAGUAAUACUGUACAGAACAUCCUUGAACCUUUCUAUGUGUUAGAUGUGUCCGAAGGCUUCUCUAUUCUGCCUAUUAUUGCUGGCACGCUUGGGCAGGUUAAACCAUACAGUUCUGUGGAGAAAGACCAGCAUCGUAUUGCUCUGGACCUCAUAUCUGAAGCCAAUCACUUUCCUAAAGAAACACUUGAGUUUUGGCUGAGACAUGUGGAGGAUGAAUCUGCUAUGUUACAAAGGCCAAAAUCAGACAAAUUAUGGAGCAUAAUUAUAUUGGAUGUCAUUGAGCCAUCUGGGCUCAUUCAGCAGGAAAUAAUGGAAAAAGCUGCAAUAUCCAGGUGUUUACUACAAUCUGGAGGCAAGAUCUUUCCUCAGUAUGUGCUGAUGUUUGGGUUGCUUGUGGAAUCACAGACACUCCUAGAGGAGAAUGCUGUUCAAGGAACAGAACGUACUCUUGGAUUAAAUAUAGCACCUUUUAUUAACCAGUUUCAGGUACCUAUACGUGUAUUUUUGGACCUAUCCUCAUUGCCCUGUAUACCUUUAAGCAAGCCAGUGGAACUCUUAAGACUAGAUUUAAUGACUCCAUAUUUGAACACCUCUAACAGAGAAGUAAAGGUAUACAUUUGUAAAUCUGGAAGACUGACUGCUAUUCCAUUUUGGUAUCAUAUGUACCUUGAUGAAGAGAUUAGGUUGGAUACUUCAAGUGAAGCCUCCCACUGGAAACAAGCUGCAGUUGUUUUAGAUAAUCCCAUCCAGGUUGAAAUGGGAGAGGAACUUGUACUCAGCAUUCAGCAUCACAAAAGCAAUGUCAGCAUCACAGUAAAGCAAUGAAGAGCAGUUUUCCAAUGAAAACUGUGUAAAUAGAGCGUCAACAAGUACAAAAUUCUUGUCUUAAUUAGUGGGGGUAUAUAAAAAUUCCUUGUAAUGGUCAAAUAUUUUUUAAAAUUGACAUUAAUAAAGCAUAUUUUAAAAGAUUCU
rnacentral:sRNA from 1 species